rnacentral:rRNA from 1 species
UACGGAGGGUGCAAGCGUUAAUCGGAAUUACUGGGCGUAAAGCGUGCGCAGGCGGGUUUGUAAGUCAGAUGUGAAAUCCCCGGGCUUAACCUGGGAAUGGCAUUUGGGACUGCAAGGCUUGAGUGCGGCAGAGGAGACUGGAAUUCCUGGUGUAGCAGUGAAAUGCGUAGAUAUCAGGAGGAACACCGAUGGCGAAGGCAGGUCUCUGGGCUGACACUGACGCUCAUGCACGAAAGCGUGGGGAGCAAACAGG